UUGAAUUUGAGAUCCUCCUCCCUCAGCUGCCUGGACUGCUGGGAUGACAGGUGUGCCCCGCCAUGCCUUGCUUAGACUGGCUUUUAUGGCUGUGCCGGGAGCUCUGAGAACAUCAAGAAGUACAAGAGAGAUCCAUAGCUUCGAGGAGGCGGCAGCAUUCUUGUAAAUAAAACGCAGCUGAAAAAAGCAAUUAGUAUCCAGGCACAGUGGCGCAAGGCUGUCACUCCAGCACUUGGGAGGCUGGAGGUAAGAGGACGGCAGUGAGUUCCAGGCCAGUGUGGGCUACGGAGCAAGACCUUGUCUCAAAUAAAUGAAGAAAUGAACGAAAAACCAAGUAAUCAGUGAAUAGUACAAGAGCCUUUCUGUCAUUUGCUGUGUUGUAUGGAGGGUCCUUGAAGACAAGAAAAAACUUGGGGCUUUGGAGACCCCAGGGGCGGCCUGGGCUUGUGCUGAGAUCAUAUUAGAUGCUCCGUGAUAAUGGACAGACAAAAUGACUCAGAUUGAGUAAACAGAGCAUUUGGUGGCUAAGAGGCCCUGUCCACCCAGGCCCAGGGUGGUUUGCAGUCCCUGGCAGCCACUCCCAGGCCUGUCAGCAUUGCCAGGGCACAGCAGGGGCUGCUCUGCACGCUCCUCCAGCCAUGGGGCGAUAAAAGCCCUCAUGAAGAAAUAAAUGAGGCUGCUGCUUGUAGUCUGGAAUGAU